UGUCAAACCAAAACACACACACACACACACACACACAAAACACGCUCGAGCCUCUCCACACGCGCGAAACCCAAACCCUCGCACGCAAACACACAUCUCCACACGCGCCGCCUUACUCUCCAUUUCACAUUCACCGUCCGCUACGUCCACUCGCCGGGAAAACCUCGAAUUUCUCUCUUUCUUGCGGAAAUCUGUUUUAAUUAGGCUUUGGAGAGUGACCGUGAAACGCACCGGAGGUUCUCCGGUGGUCGGCGAAGUUAGGGUUUCAAGAGAGUAGAUGGAUCUGUUGUUAUGAAGCAGAUACAAGGUGAGAAGGUUUGUGAAUUUGCUGGCGUGAAAGCUGGAAAAGUAAAAUUUGAGUUGGAAAUGGAGAAAUAGAGGGGAAUUUGAAGUGUUAGCACGCAAAAGGUGAAGUUUAUGCGGGAUUUUUACGCUGAAAUGUGCGGAAGACUGUUACAAGAAGAUAUAUGGAUACUCAAAGUGGAAAUGAUGGCCUGUCACCGUAGAAGUAUUCAAUGACUAAGUCCUAGACAUUUGGUUGUGGAAGAGAGAGAAUGGCAACGGAUAUCCAGAAAUUAAUGGGAACAAGUGAAGAAGAUGAUGAUGAAGAAAUGGACAUGGACGUUAAAGAGGAAGAUGAUGAAGAUGAAGAAAAUGGAGGGAAGAAUAUUGCUGCACAGAUUAUUGCAGGAGGGGGUGGAGGGAUGGCAUCAAACAAUAGUGAUAAUCAGUUUCAACAUCAACAGCAAUUUCAAGAGCAGGUUACCACUCCAGCAGGAGGAGCUCGGAGGUCUAGACCGCUUGAAGAAAAGGAGAGGACGAAGCUAAGAGAGCGACACCGGAGGGCAAUCACAGCAAGGAUCUUGGCUGGAUUAAGGAGGCAUGGGAAUUACAAUCUUAGAGUUAGAGCUGAUAUAAAUGAUGUAAUUGCAGCUUUGGCUAGGGAAGCUGGCUGGGUUGUUCUUCCAGAUGGAACUACCUUCCCUUCAAGAUCUCAGCAGGGCUCAAGGCCUGCGGGUGGCACUUCUGCUGCAGUAACAUCAUCUUCUUCUCAUCUGGUGUCACAACAGACUCCACCGGCUUCCCUUAGAGGAGUCUCUCCUGGUUAUCAGACCUCAGUUGAGUACAAUACAUGCCGUAUGAAAGGUGUUUUUAUGCCCAACCCCUCACCUUAUGAUCUAUCAGCAAGCACUCAGCCACAGAUCCCAGCAGUGGUGGGGGAGGGAGGAGAGCAAACAGAGAGCAGUCUCCAUAUUGGUGGCUCCAUGGACAUCAUAAAUGACAAGCAGAUUAUUGACAUACCUCCAAUUCCAAAGCUACCAGAGCGGGAUUUUGCUGGCACUUCAUUCAUACCAGUUUAUGUGAUGUUACCAUUGGGUGUCAUAAAUAUGAAAUGUGAGCUGGUUGAUCCAGAUGACCUACUGAAGCAGCUCAAGGUCUUGAAAUCUGCCAAUGUUGAUGGCAUUAUGGUGGACUGCUGGUGGGGCAUAGUAGAGGCUCACACCCCUCAGGAGUAUAACUGGAGUGGGUAUGGUAGGCUCUUCCAGAUGGUGCGUGAACUUAAGCUUAAGUUACAGGUUGUGAUGUCAUUUCAUGAAUGUGGAGGCAAUGUUGGUGAUGAUGUAUGUAUUCCCCUGCCACACUGGGUGGCAGAAAUUGGACGAAGUAAUCCUGACAUUUUCUUCACUGAUAGAGAAGGCAGGCGCAACCCAGAAUGUCUUUCAUGGGGAAUUGACAAAGAACGAGUGUUAAGAGGCCGUACUGCUGUUGAGGUGUACUUUGACUACAUGAGAAGCUUCCGAGCAGAAUUUGAUGAAUUUUUUGCUGAUGGUAUCAUCUCUAUGGUUGAAGUUGGACUUGGUCCUUGUGGGGAGCUACGGUACCCAUCUUGUCCAGUGAAGCAUGGCUGGAGAUAUCCUGGCAUUGGUGAAUUUCAGUGUUAUGAUCAGUAUUUGCUGAAAAGCUUAAAGAAGACAGCAGAAGCAAGGAGACAUCCUUUCUGGGCUAGGGGACCAGAUAAUGCUGGUUUCUACAAUUCCCAGCCACAUGAAACUGGUUUCUUCUGUGAUGGAGGGGACUAUGAUGGGUAUUAUGGCAGGUUCUUCCUUAAUUGGUAUACUAGGAUCUUAGUUGAUCAUGGUGAUCGGGUACUUUCUUUGGCAAAGUUAGCUUUCGAAGGCACUCAAAUUGCUGUGAAGCUAUCAGGUAUUCAUUGGUGGUACAAGACAGCCAGUCAUGCUGCUGAAUUAACUGCUGGGUUCUACAACCCAUGCAAUCGUGAUGGCUAUGCUGCAAUUUCAGCAAUGCUAAAGAAGCAUAAAGCUGCAUUAAACUUCUCGUGUUCUGAAUUGCGGAUGGUAGACCAGCAAGUGGACUUUGCAGAGGCACUUGCAGAUCCUGAGGGAUUAGUAUGGCAAGUGCUGAAUGCUGCUUGGGAAGUUGGCAUUCCAAUUGCUAGCGAGAACGCUCUUCCAUGCCAUGAUAGGGUCACAUAUAAUAAGAUUCUGGAUAAAGCCAAACCAUCGAAUGAUCCAGAUGGAAGGCAUUUUUUGUCUUUUACUCACCUCAGGCUCAGCCCACUUCUAAUGGAGAGACAAACCUUCAUGGAAUUUGAACGCUUUGUCAAGAGAAUGCAUGGAAGCUAAUAACUGAGGGAAGGGGGUGAAAAUAGAGGGUGACUGAUUUCUUUAUCUAAAGGUUCUGGAUGCUUCAAUGCUUGCCAGAAUCCGAGGAAUAACAAAUUUGGUGCUACCAGCAUGAGUUUCACUGAUUUAGGGGAGGCAGUUGUCGAACUCAAGGUAUAGCAGGAGGAGGAAGGGCAUCCAGAUUUGAGUAGCAUUUGUUUUUCUCCCACAUAACAGAUGGGGGUUUACCGUAAUGUACAUCAGUGGAGUAGUAGUUUUUAUAUGAUAACUAGGGAAUAGUAUCGAAAUAGUUCUAACACCUCUGUAAAUGAAAUCUCAAACUCAAAACAGUCAGGUUCUCCGCUACCGCUAGAUUCGAGCUUCCUUUUAUGCUUGUGUUGGAAACUUUCUGGAUGGACAAAACUGAAACUUCUGGUGUGCAGUUCAGAAGCUUGAAAUUAUUAAUUCAUUAGCUGUA